rnacentral:rRNA from 1 species
GAUGAACGCUGGCGGCGUGCUUAACACAUGCAAGUCGAACGGAAACGCCCAAGCUUGCUUCGGUACUCGAUUGGCGAACGGGUGAGUAACACGUGUGCGAUCUGCCCUGCACUUCGGGAUAAGCCUAGGAAACUGGGUCUAAUACCGGAUAGGACCACACUUUGGGUGGUGUGCUGGAAAGCUUUGCGGGUUGGGCUGGUGGCUGGGCCUAUCAGCUUGUUGGUGGUGGAAUGGCAUACGAAGGCGGCGACCGGUAGCCGGCACUGGAGGGGGUACGGCGACAAUGGUACUGAGAGACGGCGCAGACGCGUACGGGAGACAGCAGGGGGGAAUAUUGCACAAUGGGAGCGAGCCUGAGGAAGCGACGUCGCGUGGGGGAAGACGGCCUUUUGGUUGAAAACUGCUUUCGGUAGAGACGAAGCGGAAGUGACGGUACCUGGAGAAGAAGCACCGGCUAACUACGUG